rnacentral:rRNA from 1 species
UACGAAGGGGGCUAGCGUUGUUCGGAAUUACUGGGCGUAAAGCGCGCGCAGGCGGUCUUUCCAAGUCAGUGGUGAAAGCCCGGAGCUCAACUCCGGAACUGCCAUUGAAACUGUUGGACUUGAGUACGAGAGAGGUGAGUGGAAUUCCCAGUGUAGAGGUGAAAUUCGUAGAUAUUGGGAAGAACACCGGUGGCGAAGGCGGCUCACUGGCUCGUAACUGACGCUCAGGCGCGACAGCGUGGGGAUCAAACAGG